AUUGAACGCUGGCGGCAGGCCUAACACAUGCAAGUCGAACGAGUGGCGGACGGGUGAGGAAUGUCUGGGAAACUGCCCGAUGGAGGGGGAUAACUACUGGAAACGGUAGCUAAUACCGCAUACCAUCGGAUGUGCCCAGAUGGGAUUAGCUAGUGGGUGGGGUAAUGGCUCACCUAGGCGACGAUCCCGAGCCGGUCUGCGAGGAUGACCGGCCACACUGGAACUGAGACACGGUCCAGACUCCUACGGGAGGCAGCAGUGGGGAAUAUGUCCCAAUGGGCGCAAGCCUGAUGCAGCCAUGCCGCGUGUAUGAAGAAGGCCUUCGGGUUGUAAAGUACUUUCAGCGGGGAGGCGUUACCCGCAGAAGAAGCACCGGCUAACUCCGUGCCAGCAGCCGCGGUAAUAC
rnacentral:rRNA from 1 species